CAGAUACCCCAGGAGGUCACUCUCCCAGGGCUCUGUCCUGGUGGUGUAAGGGAGCACAGGGCUCUGCCCCAUGAUAUACAGUCCUUUUGCAUAAUACAGAGGAGAAGCUGGGCCUUGUGUGGGCACCUGCACAUCCCCACUCCUCAGAGUCCUUUGGGGAAUGACUGAAGAGAUAAACCAUGCAGGAAACAAUG
ensembl:snoRNA SNORA73 Small nucleolar RNA SNORA73 family